UUCCCCCCCCCCACUUUCUUAUUUUAAGAAGAAAAAUAAAUUUUGUUCUUAGGUUUGUCUAAGGAAAAAACAAACAACAACAACAACAACAAAAACUCCACAAUUUCCUGAAAUUCACCUUUCACCCUUGAAAAAUGAGAAAUAGUCAACAAAUGUAUAUUGAGCACUUACUGUAUGCACUGUAUACUAAAGCUAAGUUCCUUCCAAUUCUAUCUGGCUUCUCUUGACAGGAAAAUGACGACCCGGGAUGAGAAAGAAGUUGGCAAAGUAUACAAAAGGGUCAGGCAGUGUCUCACACUGCAGAAUGGGCUAGCUGACCACCCACACCCACAAGCUGGGUCCAUGGCUUUCACAUUGCUCUGAAGUCCAGUACGUUCUGGCCUGGGCCCUGGUUCCUUCCUAACAACUGUCCAAGACCCAACCUGGCUCUUAAAUUUCUUCCUCUGAGACUUUG
rnacentral:lncRNA from 1 species